rnacentral:sRNA from 1 species
AAGUAUUGUAUCCUUGUUAAAAGAUACAAAGACAAAGACGCAUACAGACUUCGGCUACACCAUCAAAGCUUUGAGAACAAAGAAGAAGCUUGGUUAGUGUUUUGGAGUCGAAUAUGACUUGAUGUCAUGUGUAUGAUUGAGUAUAAGAACUUAAACCGCAAUCAGAUCUUAAAAGCCUAAGUAGUGUUUCCUUGUUAGAAGAUACAAAGUCAAAGACUCAUACGUAGUUUAGCUACACCAUCAAAGCUUUGAGAAGCAAGAAGAAGCUUGGUUAGUGUUUAGGAGUCAAAUAUGACUUGAUAUCAUGUGUAUGACUGAGUAUAACAACUAGAACCGCAACCGGAUCUUAAAAGCCUAUGUAUUGUAUCCUUGUUAGAAGAUACAAAGACAAAGACUCAUAUGGACUUCGGCUACACCAUCAAAUCUUUGAGAAGCAAGAAGAAUAUUGGUUAGUGUUUUGGAGUGAAAUAUGACUAGAUGUCAUGUGUAUGAGUAAGUAU